UGCCAGCCGCCGCGGUAAUACGAACCGUCCAAACGUUAUUCGGUAUCACUGGGCUUAAAGAGUUCGUAGGCGGCUAUGUAGGUCAGAUGUGAAAUCCCACGGCUCAACCGUGGAACUGCGUUUGAAACCACAUAGCUUGAGGGAGAUAGAGGUGAGCGGAACAGAUGGUGGAGCGGUGAAAUGCGUUGAUAUCAUCUGGAACACCGGUGGCGAAGGCAUCUCUCUGGAUCUUUUCUGUCGCUGAGGCACGAAAGCUAGGGUAGCGAACGGGAUUAGAUA
rnacentral:rRNA from 1 species